rnacentral:rRNA from 1 species
UGGGGAAUAUUGCACAAUGGGCGGAAGCCUGAUGCAGCGACGCCGCGUGGGGGAUGAAGGCCUUCGGGUUGUAAACUCCUUUCGACAGGGACGAAGCGUAAGUGACGGUACCUGUAUAAGAAGCACCGGCUAACUACGUGCCAGCAGCCGCGGUAAUACGUAGGGUGCGAGCGUUGUCCGGAAUUACUGGGCGUAAAGAGCUCGUAGGUGGUUUGUCGCGUCGUCUGUGAAAUUCCGGGGCUUAACUCCGGGCGUGCAGGCGAUACGGGCUGACUUGAGUGCUGUAGGGGAGACUGGAAUUCCUGGUGUAGCGGUGAAAUGCGCAGAUAUCAGGAGGAAUACCGAUGGCGAAGGCAGGUCUCUGGGCAGUAACUGACGCUGAGGAGCGAAAGCAUGGGUAGCGAACAGGAUUAGAUACCCUGGUAGUCCAUGCCGUAAACGGUGGGCGCUAGGUGUAGGGGGCUUCCACGUCUUCUGUGCCGUAGCUAACGCAUUAAGCGCCCCGCCUGGGGAGUACGGCCGCAAGGCUA